rnacentral:rRNA from 1 species
UCGGGAAUUUUGGGCAAUGGGGGAAACCCUGACCCAGCAACGCCGCGUGAAGGAUGAAGUAUUUCGGUAUGUAAACUUCGAAAGAAUAGGAAGAAUAAAUGACGGUACUAUUUAUAAGGUCCGGCUAACUACGUGCCAGCAGCCGCGGUAAUACGUAGGGACCAAGCGUUGUUCGGAUUUACUGGGCGUAAAGGGCGCGUAGGCGGCAUGACAAGUCACUUGUGAAAUCUCUGGGCUUAACCCAGAACGGCCAAGUGAUACUGUCGCGCUAGAGUGCAGAAGGGGCAAUCGGAAUUCUUGGUGUAGCGGUGAAAUGAGUAGAUAUCAAGAGGAACACCUGAGGUGAAGACGGGUUGCUGGGCUGACACUGACGCUGAGGCGCGAAAGCGUGGGGAGCAAACAGGAUUAGAUACCCGAGUAGUCCCUGAGCGGGCUGGCAAGGCGCAU